GCUCCUCCCCCAGCUGCCCGUGUGUUGAGCGACAGACAUCACUCCUGAGGGUGCAACGCGUGGAUCAGGUGGUUCAUAAGCGCAUUCAAAUGCAGGCGUGUGGAGGCGAUCGCGCAGACACACACACAAAAACCAACAACAUCCCUGAUUUAACUGAACCCACACAACAUUUUAACAUCCUGACAGAUGUGUAGGAACUCAGCGUGUCGCCCCUACAAACGUGCACACUUCACAAAGAAUGACAAAAUGGGAAAUAAAA